rnacentral:tRNA from 1 species
UGGCCUAUAGCUCAGGGGUAGAGCGCAGUGCUGAUAACGCUGAUGUCGGUGGUUCGAAUCCACUUAGGCCAACCA